CUACGGGAGGCAGCAGUGGGGAAUUUUCCGCAAUGGGCGAAAGCCUGACGGAGCAAUACCGCGUGAGGGAAGACUGCCUAUGGGUUGUAAACCUCUUUUUUCAGGGAGGAAUCAAUGACGUGUACCUGAAGAAUAAGCAUCGGCUAACUCCGUGCCAGCAGCCGCGGUAAGACGGAGGAUGCAAGUGUUAUCCGGAAUCACUGGGCGUAAAGCGUCUGUAGGUGGUUUAAUAAGUCAACUGUUAAAUCUUGAGGCUCAACUUCAAAAUCGCAGUCGAAACUAUUAGACUAGAGUAUAGUAGAGGUAAGGGGAAUUUCCAGUGGAGCGGUGAAAUGCGUAGAUAUUGGAAAGAACACCGAUGGCGAAAGCACUUUACUGGGCUAUUACUAACACUCAGAGACGAAAGCUAGGGUAGCAAAUGGGAUUAGAUACCCCAGUAGUCCUAGCCGUAAACAAUGGAUACUAGAUGUUGAACAGAUCGACCUGUGCAGUAUCAAAGCUAACGCGUUAAGUAUCCCGCCUGGGAAGUAUGCUCGCAAGAGUGAAACUCAAAG
rnacentral:rRNA from 1 species